CUCGCAGAGGCUCUUGACCUGGGGCUCGGAGAGCUGCUUGCACUCGUUCAGCUGCUCGAUCCACUGGUCCAGUUCCUUGGUGAA
rnacentral:pre_miRNA from 1 species